UCCUCCCUCUGGCUUCGGGCUUAACACAUGCCAGUCGAACGGAAAGGCCCUGCUUGUGUGGGGUGCUCGAGUGGCGAACGGGUGAGUAACACGUGAGUAACCUGCCCUUGACUUUGGGAUAACUUCAGGAAACGGGGGCUAAUACCGGAUAGGAGCUCCUGCUGCAUGGUGGGGGUUGGAAAGUUUCGGCGGUUGGGGAUGGACUCGCGGCUUAUCAGCUUGUUGGUGGGGUAGUGGCUUACCAAGGCUUUGACGGGCAGCCGGCCUGAGAGGGUGACCGGCCACAUUGGGACUGAGAUACGGCCCAGACUCCUACGGGAGGCAGCAGUGGGGAAUAUUGCACAAUGGGCGGAAGCCUGAUGCAGCAACGCCGCGUGCGGGAUGACGGCCUUCGGGUUGUAAACCGCUUUCGCCUGUGACGAAGCGUGAGUGACGGUAAUGGGUAAAGAAGCACCGGCUAACUACGUG
rnacentral:rRNA from 1 species